ensembl:snoRNA
ACACAUGAUGACUGAAAUUCUUCACUUUGACCUGAUGUCUGUUGAAGAAACUCUGUGUCUGAGC